UGACAUGAGUAGCGCUAAAGGGGGUGAAAAGCCCCCUCGCCGUAAGCGCAAGGUUUCCUACGCAACGUUCAUCGGCGUAGGGUGAGUCGGCCCCUAAGGCGAGGCAGAGAUGCGUAGCUGAUGGGAAACAGGUCAAUAUUCCUGUACCGAUGUGUAGUGCGAUGUGGGGACGGAGAUGGUUAACUCAGCCGGGUGUUGGAUGUCCCGGUUCAAGCCUGUAGUCGUGCCUGGUAGGCAAAUCCGCCGGGCUUAGAUGAGGGGUGAUAACGAGGCGGCUUGCCGCCGAAGUGAGCGAUACCCUGCUUCCAGGAAAAGCCACUAAGCUUCAGCUACACACGACCGUACCGCAAACCGACACUGGUGCGCGAGAUGAGUAUUCUAAGGCGCUUGAGAGAACUCUGGAGAAGGAACUCGGCAAAUUGACACCGUAACUUCGGAAGAAGGUGUGCCUUUAGUAGGUGAUCCAUUUACUUGGUGAGCCCAAUGAGGCCGCAGAGAAUCGGUGGCUGCAACUGUUUAAUAAAAACACAGCACUCUGCAAAGACGAAAGUCGACGUAUAGGGUGUGACGCCUGCCCGGUGCUGGAAGAUUAAAUGAUGGGGUGCAAGCUCUUGAUUGAAGUCCCAGUAAACGGCGGCCGAAACAAUAACGGUCCUAAGGUAGCGAAAUUCCUUGUCGGGUAAGUUCCGACCUGCACGAAUGGCGUAAUGAUGGCCACACUGUCUCCUCCAGAGACUCAGCGAAGUUGAAAUGUUUGUGAUGAUGCAAUCUCCCCGCGGAAAGACGGAAAGACCCCAUGAACCUUUACUGUAGCUUUACAUUGGACUUUGAACAGAUCUGUGUAGGAUAGGUGGGAGGCUUUGAAGCGGUGCCGCUAGGUGUCGUGGAGCCAACCUUGAAAUACCACCCUGGUGUGUUUGAGGUUCUAACCUUGGCCCGUUAUCCGGGUUGGGGACAGUGUAUGGUGGGCAGUUUGACUGGGGCGGUCUCCUCCCAAAGUGUAACGGAGGAGUUCGAAGGUACGCUAAAUACGGUCGGAAAUCGUGUUGAUAGUGCAUUGGCAUAAGCGUGCUUGACUGCGAGACUGACAAGUCGAGCAGGUACGAAAGUAGGACAAAGUGAUCCGGUGGUUCUGUAUGGAAGGGCCAUCGCUCAACGGAUAAAAGGUACUCUGGGGAUAACAGGCUGAUACCGCCCAAGAGUUCAUAUCGACGGCGGUGUUUGGCACCUCGAUGUCGGCUCAUCUCAUCCUGGGGCUGUAGCCGGUCCCAAGGGUAUGGCUGUUCGCCAUUUAAAGAGGUACGUGAGCUGGGUUUAAAACGUCGUGAGACAGUUUGGUCCCUAUCUUCCGUGGGCGCUGCAAGAUUGAGAGAGCCUGCUCCUAGUACGAGAGGACCGGAGUGGACGCACCUCUGGUGUAUCGGUUGUCACGCCAGUGGCAUUGCCGAGUAGCUAAGUGCGGAAGAGAUAACCGCUGAAAGCAUCUAAGCGGGAAACUCGUCUCAAGAUGAGUCUUGCCGGGGCCUUGAGCCCCCUGAAGGGUCGUUCGAGACCAGGACGUUGAUAGGUCGGGUGUGGAAGCGCAGUAAUGCGUUAAGCUAACCGAUACUAAUUGCCCGUGAGGCUUGAC
rnacentral:rRNA from 1 species